UACGUAGGGUGCAAGCGUUGUCCGGAAUUAUUGGGCGUAAAGAGCUCGUAGGCGGUUUGUUGCGUCGGCCGUGAAAUCCCGAGGCUCAACCUCGGGUCUGCAGUCGAUACGAGCAAACUAGAGUGUUGCAGGGGAGACUGGAAUUCCUGGUGUAGCGGUGAAAUGCGCAGAUAUCAGGAGGAACACCGGUGGCGAAGGCGGUUCUCUGGGCCUUACCUGACGCUGAGGAGCGAAAGCGUGGGGAGCGAACAGG
rnacentral:rRNA from 1 species